UACAGAGACUGCAAGCGUUACUCGGAUUCACUGGGCGUAAAGGGAGCGCAGGCGGACCGGUGUGUCAGAUGUGAAACCCCAGGGCUCAACCUUGGGACUGCGUCUGAAACUGCCGGUCUAGGGACUCGGAGGGGCUAGUGGAAUUCCUGGUGGAGCAGUGAAAUGCGUAGAUAUCAGGAGGAACACCAACGGCGAAGGCAGCUAGCUGGACGAGAUCCGACGCUCAGGCUCGAAAGUAUAGGGAGCAAAAAGG
rnacentral:rRNA from 1 species